rnacentral:rRNA from 1 species
AUUGAACGCUGGUGGCAGGCCUAACACAUGCAAGUCGAGCGAGCGGCGGACGGGUGAGUAAUGUAUGGGGACUGCCCGAUAGAGGGGGAGAACUACUGGAAACGGUAGCUAAUACCGCAUACUAUCGGAUAACCCAUAUGGGAUUAGCUAGUAGGUGAGGUAAUGGCUCACCUAGGCGACGAUCCCUAGCUGGUCUGAGAGGAUGAUCAGCCAAACUGGACCUGAGACACGGCCCAGUCUCCUACGGAGGCAGCAGUGGGAAAUAUUGAACAAUGGGCGCAAGCCUGAUGCAGCCAUCCCGGGUGUAUGAAGAAGGCCCUAGGGUUGUAAAGUACUUUCAGUCGGGAGGCGUUACCGACAGAAGAAGCACCGGCUAACUCCGUGCCAGCCGCCGCGUAAUAC